UAUGUAUUUCUUUGCAGAGUCUCCGAGUUAUUCACAAUUCGUAUUAAAGAACUAGAGUUUUACAAGACGUAAAGUUUUGCAUAUUUACAAGUCCGGAUCAUCUGUGUGUCCGUCUACAUUCGCGGGUGCAGGGAUUCUCCCUAUUACAGCCUUUGCAUAUUUACAAGUCCGGAUCAUUUGUGUGCCCGUCUACAUUCGCUGGUGGAGCGAUUUUUAUGUACUUCCAGGAUUCUAAUCUGAUCGCAGGUACAACUUUUUCCUUACCGCAAGCUCAACAUCAUCGUAACGCAGCCCACUUUUAGCGCAAGGCCUUUACAAUAUCGCACAACGUGUUCAAAAGAGUCACAACUCAGAUAAUACGUUUGUAAGAAAAUGCGAAAAACUAUUUCUUAGCACAUGGUAAUCACAUGGACACAGGCACAGGGCGACUUUACCUUAGGUUUUUUUUAACAAAUUAUAAAAAAAAAAUUUCUGCAGCUUUUGCUGAAAGUUAAAUAGAAGCUCUGUGCAUAAUUUCAAAAGUUACAAAUUUUGAGUUGUGACUGUUUUGAAGACGGUGUGUGUUUUGUAUGUAAGUUUUAAUAAGUGGAAAAAGUCUAGUGUACUAACCGUUCAUAAAAUUCGUUCGUACAAUUAAAUUCUAACUAAAAAACCAAAUGUAAUUAAAUUAGGAUACUCAAGAUCUAACUUUUCAAUGUACCCAAUAUAAUGAUUAGCAAGACUGAUUGGAGAAAAUAGUAGAAGACAUUACUAAACAAUCUAAAUUUGUAAAAAACCAAAUAUAAUUCAAUUCAAGAUAUUUAAAAUGUAAUUUUUAAAUGCAACAAAUAUAAUU
rnacentral:lncRNA from 1 species